rnacentral:rRNA from 1 species
AGUGAACGCUGGCGGUAGGCCUAACACAUGCAAGUCGAACGGCAGCACAGUAAGAGCUUGCUCUUACGGGUGGCGAGUGGCGGACGGGUGACGAAUACAACGUGAUCUACUUUUUCGGGGGGGAUAACGUAGGGAAACUUACGCUAAUACCGCAUACGACCUACGGGUGUAAGGAGGGGAUCUUCGGGCCUUGCGCGAAUGGAUGAGCCGCUGUCGGGUUAGCUAGUUGGCUGGGUAAAGGCCCACCAAGGCGACGAUCCGUAGCUGGUCUGAGAGGAUGGUCAGCCACACUGGAACUGGGACACGGUCCAGACUCCUACGGGAGGGAGCAGUGGGGUAUAUUGGACAAUGGGCGCAAGCCUGAUACAGCCAUACCGAGUGGGUGACGAAGGCCUUCGGGUUGUAAAGACGUUUUGUUGGGAAAGAAAAGCAGCAGGUUGAUACCCCGCUGUUCUGACGGUACCCAAAGAAUAAGCACCGGCUAACUUCGUG